rnacentral:rRNA from 1 species
UACGAAGGGGGCUAGCGUUGCUCGGAAUUACUGGGCGUAAAGGGUGCGUAGGCGGAUUGUUAAGUCAGGGGUGAAAUCCUGGAGCUCAACUCCAGAACUGCCUUUGAUACUGGCGAUCUUGAGUCCGGGAGAGGUGAGUGGAACUGCGAGUGUAGAGGUGAAAUUCGUAGAUAUUCGCAAGAACACCAGUGGCGAAGGCGGCUCACUGGCCCGGUACUGACGCUGAGGUGCGAAAGCGUGGGGAGCAAAC